rnacentral:sRNA from 1 species
UGUCUGUAGAUUAUUCUUAGCGUAUCAGC